UACGUAGGGGGCAAGCGUUAUCCGGAUUUACUGGGUGUAAAGGGAGCGCAGACGGCAGUGCAAGUCUGGAGUGAAAGCCCGGGGCCCAACCCCGGAACUGCUCUGGAAACUGUGCGGCUAGAGUACUGGAGGGGCAGGCGGAAUUCCUAGUGUAGCGGUGAAAUGCGUAGAUAUUAGGAGGAACACCAGUGGCGAAGGCGGCCUGCCGGACAGUAACUGACGUUGAGGCUCGAAAGCGUGGGGAGCAAACAGG
rnacentral:rRNA from 1 species